AAGUAAGCGAAGCCGUGUGACUUCACAGUGCUUUGUUUUCCUUCGGCGUGUGUUUGUGCAUAAAUUAAUUAGAUUUUCCCCAGAAAAAGUGAUCGAUUAAAGUGAUUUUUCAUUUAUUGCGCAAAGUGAGACAUUGGACUUUUCUUUUGGAUUGUGAAAAUUCGCGAAAUUCAUUUAGUUUUUGUGAUUUUUGAGUGAUUCAGAGGAACUCUGUCAAAGUUGUUUUGAGUGAGUUUUGUUUUUCCUGCGAAAAAUCCAGAAAAAUCUUCUAAUUUCCGAUUCUUGGUAAUUGAAUUUAUCGAAAGGACUUGAUUGCUUAUUCACAGACGGAAUAUCCAAGAGUAUACAAUAUUUUGUUCUGG